AGAGUUUGAUCCUGGCUCAGAACUAACGCUGGCGGCAUGCCUAACACAUGCAAGUCGAACGAGAACGUCUCUUCGGAGGCUAGUAAAGUGGCGCACGGGUGAGUAACACGUGAGUAAUCUGCCCCUGAAACCGGGAUAACUUCGCGAAAGCGGGGCUAAUACCGGAUAAUAUCAUCGAUUCAUAAGAGUUGGUGAUCAAAGGUGACCUCUUCACAAUGUUGCAGUUCAGGGAUGAACUCGCGGCCCAUUAGCUUGUUGGUAAGGUAACGCUUAUCAAGGCUACGAUGGGUAGCCGGCCUGAGAGGGUGAUCGGCCACACUGGAACUGAGACACGGUCCAGACUCCUACGGGAGGCAGCAGUGGGGAAUAUUGCGCAGUGGGGGAAACCCUGACGCAGCAAUGCCGCGUGAGUGAUGAAGGCCUUCGGGUUGUAAAGCUCUGUCAGAUGGGAAGAAAUAUGUGGAUUUCAAUAGGAUCCAUAUUUGACGGUACCAUCAGAGGAAGCCCCGGCUAACUCCGUGCCAGCAGCCGCGGUAAUACGGAGGGGGCAAGCGUUGUUCGGAAUUACUGGGCGUAAAGGGCACGUAGGCGGCCUGGUUAGUCAGGCGUGAAAUCCCAUGGCUCAACCAUGGAAUUGCGUUUGAUACUACCAGGCUUGAGUACAGGAGAGGAAAGUGGAAUUCCUAGUGUAGCGGUGAAAUGCGCAGAUAUUAGGAGGAACACCAGUGGCGAAGGCGACUUUCUGGCCUGAUACUGACGCUGAGGUGCGAAAGCGUGGGGAGCGAACGGGAUUAGAUACCCCGGUAGUCCACGCCGUAAACGAUGGGUACUAGGUGUAGGAGGUGAUUAAUCCUUCUGUGCCGAAGCUAACGCAUUAAGUACCCCGCCUGGGGAGUACGGUCGCAAGACUGAAACUCAAAGGAAUUGACGGGGGCCCGCACAAGCGGUGGAGCAUGUGGUUUAAUUCGACGCAACGCGAAGAACCUUACCAAGGUUUGACAUGUACUUGCUAUCCUGUGAAAGCAGGAGUUCCUUCGGGACGGGUACACAGGUGCUGCAUGGCUGUCGUCAGCUCGUGUCGUGAGAUGUUGGGUUAAGUCCCGCAACGAGCGCAACCCUCACCCUUAGUUACCAGCGGAUAAUGCCGGGGACUCUAAGGGAACCGCCUCGGUAACGGGGAGGAAGGUGGGGAUGACGUCAAGUCCUCAUGGCCUUUUAUGCCUUGGGCUACACACGUGCUACAAUGGGUGGUACAAAGGGUCGCAAUACCGCGAGGUGGAGCCAACCCCAAAAAAACCAUCCCCAGUUCGGAUUGAAGUCUGCAACUCGACUUCACGAAACCGGAAUCGCUAGUAAUCGUGGAUCAGCACGCCACGGUGAAUACGUUCCCGGGCCUUGUACACACCGCCCGUCACACCACGAAAGUUAGUUGUACUAGAAGUAACUGGGCUAACCACGCAUUAGUGUGGAGGCAGGUUACUAAGGUAUGGCCGGCGAUUGGGGUGAAGUCGGAACAAGGUA
rnacentral:rRNA from 1 species